GCUCCUCCACAGCACGGUGGUGGACACGGCUGUCGUCUUUCCCCAUCGGUUGGGCAUGCCUUACAAACGGGCGCUGCGCACCUUGAUGGCCGACUACCUCAAGCGCAUCAUUCAGGACAGCGUGGAAGGUCAUGACUCCAGUGAGGACGCCCGAGCCUGCAUGGAGCUGAUGAUCUGGAAGAUCAAAGAAGACUCAAAAGUGAAGCGGUGACUUUGCCGCGUGGCUUCACCUUCCACGGCUUGGGCACAGUGCAAUAGAGGUCUCCGGAGCAGCCUUCCUGAGUUCCUGCAAUGGGUGCCUCUCUGCCUUCCCCUUCCAUGCCCAGAGGAAUCCCUGGGUGCCUGGAGGGAGCUGCUGCUGGCACACUGAUUGGGCACCUGCCCUCUCCGGUCGCGCGGGCUGGGACCAAGACCCCACGAGGCCCAGCUGACAGGUGCGGGGGCUCUCGAGCACUGUUUCUCUUCCCCCUCCCCUCCCGUUUUUAUUUAUGGAUUUGAAAAGAAAGCUUCUAAUUUAAUUUGGCCAGUUCCAAAGGACGUUCCUGCAGGAGACGCCUGCAGCAUCCGAGUCCGUUGGGAACAUGGACAGAGGGGAUUUGGGGGUUGGUGGGGGGGAAAGGUGGGGAAGACCUAAACUGCCUGGAAGGAGUGAGAUCUGGGGCAGACUGCAGUAGCUCCUGGGCCGGUCUCAUCAGGAGGAGCGCGCGUCGAGUGGGGCGGGGGGCUUCAGGCCACAAAAGGCGCGAGAGAGACGGCAGAUCCCUGCCUGGGGUUGAGCGCUUGCUAAAAUAAAUUCUCAUGGGCCGCGCCAGCACGAAUCCUCUGGCUGGUGCCGCAUUUGAACACCCGAGUUCAGCAAAGGGGGAGGUUUUGCUGCCCCAUUGAAGGCGGCCGGGGUUGGGGGGGGGGGCACGGAAACAGCCUAUCCUCCUGACCAGCAGCUGGAACGACCUGCCCCCCCCCCCUCAGGGUUGGCCCUGGUGCCAAUUUCAGCAUUAGGUGGGCACAAGCGUUGCCCUCAAGUUGGUCAGACUCGGAAGCCAAGGGGGUGGUAUCCGUGCUGACCUUCUGGAAGACGAGGCCAGACCUGCCAGCCAAAGGCAUCUGCGCCCAGCAUUGGUGAACACAUCCCCCCUUCUUCUUGCAUUUUCUGAAAGGGGAGGGCUCUACAGCCACCGCCUCCCCCAGCAGUCAUUUUUCCCCCACCCGCUUCCUUCAGCUCCUCAGGGCCAGGGGGGGUGCCUCCCAUCGAAGCUCGUUUUCCGGUUGGUUCUAACUGGGGCUUUUAGGAGGCGCUGGCUGUUUAAGGGCGCGAGCCCCUCUUUCCCCACCGGACUCAAAACCUCUAUGGUUUUUCCCACGUGCAUUGAAAGAGCUCAUGACGCACAGCGGCCUCAGUAGCCAUGCUCACUGGAGCCACGUGUGAGAUGGGAGGGUCGGGGUCGGAGUUUCCCUGGAGGGGAAAAGGGGCAGUGGGCAAAUCAAGGGGGCCACUCCCUGCAAGCUUCAUGUAUCCCCCCCCCCCCCUUGAUCUGCAGCAGUUCCGAACUAGCAUCUUCCAGCCUCUUCUCCUGCUUGGUUGUUCAAUGCAGGGCUCACCUCUUUGGCCUCAGAGUCUGGUUGGCCCACAGAGUUACGUUCCCCGAAAUGGGAGUCAGAACGGGAGCAGUGAAGAAUUCAGCCAACCUGUUUUCUCCAGGCCCUGGAAACCUGCAGCUGGUACAGGAACGCCCAGGGAGGGGGAAUGGGGGCGGGCUUCAAUCCGCAGUUGUGCCCUGUCUGUUACAGCAGUUUAGGGACAGGGUGUCUUUCAGAGGGGGCCCGAAAUGUUCAUCCGGCGCUACGGGUCUCCAGUCCUCCCUCCUCCUAAGACACAGGUGUCAAACUCGCAGCCCUCCAGAUGUUAUGGACUACAAUUCCCAUCAUCCCCUGCCAUCACGAUGCUGGCAGGGGAUGAUGGGAACUGUAGUCCAUAACGUCUGGAGGGCCGCGAAUUUGACACCUAUGUCCUAAGAGAAGGAGAUGAGGUAUGUGAAGAUAUACAGUACCGGGAACACUCGGCUGCCCUAGCCCAGGGGUCUGCAACCUGUGGGUCUCCAGAUGUUCAUGGACUACAAUUCCCAUCAGCCCCUGCCAGCAUGGCCUGAUGGGGAUUGUAGUCCAUGCACAUCUGGAGAGCCACAGGUUGCAGAUCCCUGCCAUAGCCCAUUUCUUUCCAAUUACAGGACAGCCAUUUCAUUCCCAGAGCCAACUUAAAACCCAUAGGAAUUAGCCAGGGGGCACAUUGUGUGUGUGAUUUCUCUCUCUCUCUCUCUCUCUCCCAUUCUCUCUCUCUCUCAUUCUCCCCCACCCCUUUGAUGUCUCCUGGUCUCUCAUUUUCUUCAUAUUACUUUUUGCCAGGGUUCUCAGCUAGAAAUUGGGUUCAUUUUUCUCCACCUGGGGUGCAGAUACUGCGCGGCAGUAGCAAUCCUUCGCUCGGUAUCAGGAAGACAAAGAGGAUGGAGCUCUCUUCCUCUUGCUGUGUCUUCUCUUUGCCGUUGGCGUGAGCGCGGUCUCGUACGGAGAACGCCGCACAGGGUCACCUUAUUAACCACACCUGCAGUACAACCACAAGCCCAAUUGUACUGUCUGAAGUGUGCACUUGUUUGCACCACCUCGGACGUUCAAGGACUUGCGGCUUGGCGAGACCGACGUAGUAGCCUGGCCGUGCACUCCCUCACGAUGCCCGUUCCCUGCACAAGAGGAAAGCCUGUUUUCCAAUGCCCUCCUUGAAGCGAGGCUCAGCGGGUGAAUUUUGCUGGCUGUGCGGCUGUGACAUUUCCUCUUUCCCCCGCUGCCUGAAGGCUGACAUUAUCUCAGCGGAGCCUUUGGGGCACCAUUCCCUCUCUCCCCUUCCCCCCCCCCCAUUAUAUCAUCCACAGACACCACAGGUUUUCCUUCUGUUCCCCCUCCCCCCCAAUUUCCUCUUCCCUGCCUCCACCCUAUGGGCUGUUUAACACUGGACGGUAAUAAUAACGAAACCAUGUAGACAUUGUACAUAGCAACUUGUUUAACACCACUUUGUAAACCUUUCUAAUAAAAACCGCAAAAUUCCAA